CCUACGGUGUGCAGCAGUGGGGGAUAUUGCACAAUGGGGGGAACCCUGAUGCAGCGACGCCGCGUGUGGGAAGACGGUCCUCUGGAUUGUAAACCACUGUCCCCAGGGACGAAAAUGACGGUACCUGGGGAGGAAGCUCCGGCUAACUACGUGCCAGCAGCCGCGGUAAUACGUAGGGAGCGAGCGUUGUCCGGAAUUACUGGGUGUAAAGGGAGCGUAGGCGGGGAUGCAAGUUGGGUGUCAAAACUACCGGCUCAACUGGUAGUCGCACUCAAAACUGCAGCUCUUGAGUGAAGUAGAGGCAGGCGGAAUUCCUAGUGUAGCGGUGAAAUGCGUAGAUAUCACGCAGAACCCCGAUUGCGAAGGCAGCAUGCCGGCUUCCGACUGACGCUGAAGCACGAAAGCGUGGGGAUCGAACAGGAUUAGAUACCCCAGUAGUC
rnacentral:rRNA from 1 species